rnacentral:rRNA from 1 species
CCUACGGGUCGCACCAGUGGGGAAUAUUGCACAAUGGGCGCAAGCCUGAUGCAGCCAUGCCGCGUGUAUGAAGAAGGCCUUAGGGUUGUAAAGUACUUUCAGUUGGGAGGAAGGCGUUGAUGCUGAUAUCAUCAGCGAUUGACGUUACCAACAGAAGAAGCACCGGCUAACUCCGUGCCAGCAGCCGCGGUAAUACGGAGGGUGCAAGCGUUAAUCGGAAUUACUGGGCGUAAAGCGCACGCAGGCGGUUGAUUAAGUUAGAUGUGAGAUCCCCGGGCUUAACCUGGGAAUGGCAUCUAAGACUGGUCAGCUAGAGUCUUGUAGAGGGGGGUAGAAUUCCAUGUGUAGCGGUGAAAUGCGUAGAGAUGUGGAGGAAUACCGGUGGCGAAGGCAGCCCCCUGGACAAAGACUGACGCUCAGGUGCGAAAGCGUGGGGAGCAAACAGGAUUAGAUACCCCGGUAGUC